rnacentral:rRNA from 1 species
AGAGUUUGAUCAUGGCUCAGAACGUACGCUGGCGGCACGCCUAACACAUGCAAGUCGAACGAAGUAGCAAUACUUAGUGGCAGACGGGUGAGUAACAUGUAGGUAUCUACCCUUUGGCCUGGAAUAACACGAGGAAACUUGUGCUAAUACCGGAUAAGUCUUUACGGAGAAAGCUUUAUGCACCAUUGGAUGAGCCUGCACUUGAUUAGUUUGUUGGUGGGGUAAUGGCCUACCAAGACUGUGAUCAAUAGCUGAUUUGAGAGGAUGAUCAGCCACAUUGGGACUGAGACACGGCCCAAACUCCUACGGGAGGCAGCAGUGGGGAAUCUUGCACAAUGGAGGAAACUCUGAUGCAGCGAUGCCGCGUGAGUGAAGAAGGCCCUUGGGUUGUAAAGCUCUUUCGUCGGGGAAGAAAAUGACUGUACCCGAAUAAGAAGGUCCGGCUAACUUCGUGCCAGCAGCCGCGGUAAUACGAAGGGACCUAGCGUAGUUCGGAAUUACUGGGCUUAAAGAGUUCGUAGGUGGUUGAAAAAGUUAGUGGUGAAAUCCCAGAGCUUAACUCUGGAACUGCCAUUAAAACUUUUCAGCUAGAGUAUGAUAGAGGAAAGCAGAAUUUCUAGUGUAGAGGUGAAAUUCGUAGAUAUUAGAAAGAAUACCAAUUGCGAAGGCAGCUUUCUGGAUCAUUACUGACACUGAGGAACGAAAGCAUGGGUAGCGAAGAGGAUUAGAUACCCUCGUAGUCCAUGCCGUAAACGAUGUGUGUUAGACGUUGGAAAUUUAUUUUCAGUGUCGCAGCGAAAGCGAUAAACACACCGCCUGGGGAGUACGACCGCAAGGUUAAAACUCAAAUGAAUUGACGGGGACCCGCACAAGUAGUGGAGCAUGUGGUUUAAUUCGAAGAUACGCGCAGAACCUUACCAACACUUGACAUGUUCGUCGCGACUCUAAGAGAUUAGAGUUUUCGGUUCGGCCGGACGAAACACAGGUGCUGCAUGGCUGUCGUCAGCUCGUGUCGUGAGAUGUUGGGUUAAGUCCCGCAACGAGCGCAACCCUCACUUUUAGUUGCCAUCAUUUAGUUGGGCACUCUGAAAGAACUGCCAGUGAUAAGCUGGAGGAAGGUGGGGAUGACGUCAAGUCCUCAUGGCCCUUACGUGUUGGGCUACACACGUGCUACAAUGGUAUCUACAACAGGAAGCAAGACUGCGAGGUCAAGCAAAUCCUUAAAAGAUACCUCAGUUCGGAUUGCACUCUGCAACUCGAGUGCAUGAAGCUGGAAUUACUAGUAAUCGUGGAUCAGCGUGCCACGGUGAAUGCGUUCCCGGGUCUUGUACACACCGCCCGUCACACCAUGGGAGUUGGUUCUACCUUAAGGCAAGGUUUAAAACCCUUGACCACGGUAUAGUCAGCGACUGGGGUGAAGUCGUAACAAGGUAGCCGUAGGGGAACCUGCGGCUG